rfam:Trichuris trichiura, WGS project CBXK01000000 data, contig: TTRE_798
CAAACGGCCCUUUUCAGGGCCACCAAAUGGUUUCAAUUGCAACUUAU